rnacentral:rRNA from 1 species
CCUACGGGAGGCAGCAGUGAGGAAUAUUGGUCAAUGGGCGCGAGCCUGAACCAGCCAAGUAGCGUGAAGGAUGACUGCCCUACGGGUUGUAAACUUCUUUUAUAAAGGAAUAAAGUGAGGCACGUGUGCCUUUUUGUAUGUACUUUAUGAAUAAGGAUCGGCUAACUCCGUGCCAGCAGCCGCGGUAAUACGGAGGAUCCAAGCGUUAUCCGGAUUUAUUGGGUUUAAAGGGUGCGCAGGCGGGCCUUUAAGCCGGCGGUGAAAUGCUUAGAUAUCACGAAGAACUCCGAUUGCGAAGGCAGUUCACUAGACUGCAACUGACACUGAGGCUCGAAAGUGUGGGUAUCAAACAGGAUUAGAUACCCUAGUAGUC